rnacentral:rRNA from 1 species
GAGUUUGAUCGUGGCUCAGGAUAAACGUUGGCGGCGUGCCUAACGCAUGCAAGUCGCACGGGGCGCAAGCCUAGUGGCGGACGGGUGAGUAACACGUAGGGACCUGCCCGGAAGUGGGGGACAACUCUCCGAAAGGAGAGCUAAUACCGCAUACGGUCUACGGACCAAAGCCGUAAGGCGCUUCUGGAGGGACCUGCGGUGGAUUAGCUAGUUGGUGGGGUAACGGCCUACCAAGGCGACGAUCCAUAGCUGGUCUGAGAGGAUGAUCAGCCACACUGGGACUGAGACACGGCCCAGACUCCUACGGGAGGCAGCAGCGAGGAAUUUUGCACAAUCGACGCAAGUCGGAUGCAGCAACGCCGCGUGGGGGAAGAAGGCUCUCGAGUUGUAAACCCCUUUUGUUGAGGGAAGAAGAUCUGACGGUACCUCACGAAUAAGUCACGGCUAACUACGUGCCAGCCGCCGCAGUAAC